rnacentral:misc_RNA from 1 species
GAUGAAGAACGUAGCGAAAUGCGAUAAGUAAUGUGAAUUGCAGAAUUCAGUGAAUCAUCGAAUCUUUGAACGCACCUUGCGCCCUUUGGCUAUUCCAGAGGGCAUGCCUGUUUGAGUAUCAUGAACACCUCAACUCUCAUGGUUCUGCCAUGAUGAGCUUGGACUUUGGAGGUCUUGCUGGCCCCUGUGGUCAGCUCCUCUCAAAUGGAUCAGCUUGCCAGUGUUUGGUGGCAUCACAGGUGUGAUAACUAUCUACGCUUGUGGUUUUCCACCAGGUAACCUUCAGUGAUGGAGGUUCGCUGGAGCUCAUAAACGUCUCUCCUCAGCGAGGACAGCUUCUUGAACGUUUGAUCUCAAAUCAGGUAGGGCUACCCGCUGAACUUAAGCAUAUCAAUAGCGGAGGA